rnacentral:tRNA from 1 species
GUUAACCGUGGGGGACAUAACAGAAACUGCUAAUUUCUCUACCCGAGACUAACCACC